rfam:Schistosoma margrebowiei strain Zambia genome assembly, scaffold: SMRZ_scaffold0001518
GCACUGCUGAGGAGUCUCGCAAUAGGAUGAAACGGCCGUCCAGUGC